UGCGUAGGCGGAAUAAUAAGUCAGUAGUGAAAUCCUGCAGCUUAACUGUAGAACUGUUAUUGAUACUGGUUUUCUUGAAUAUAGUUGAAGUAGGCGGAAUGUGUAAUGUAGCGGUGAAAUGCUUAGAUAUUACACAGAACACCGAUUGCGAAGGCAGCUUACUAAGCUAUGAUUGACGCUGAGGUACGAAAGCGUGGGGAGCGAACAGGAUUAGAUACCCUGGUAGUCC
rnacentral:rRNA from 1 species